CGGAAUACGCAAACAAUACUUAAAGAAAAAAUACCUCCUUACUUGCGUUCAAACGUACAUGUUUGAACGUAACCAAAUGCGUAAGCCCCUAACAAAACAGACGAGAUUUACGAAACAUCUUACUUCGUGCGCACUGCAAGGAGGAGCAGCGUCAAGUCUUCCAUCAUCAUCAGCAGUAGUAACAACAGAAGCCACAGUAGCUUCACAGUCGCCAUCAUCAUUGUCCCCAUGCCAAGUACUCGUCGUAUGCAAUGUUUAUUGGAUCUCCUCACUUAUUAUGUAUUUAGCUUCUGGCGUCGAGGGAUAGCAUUUGGCAGAUUGGCUGAGGGGAACAAAACAAAGCAGAGAAGCCGUAGCAGCAAGUCGUAAAUAACGACCUAGUCAUGAAGUUAGUCACUUUCAUUAUAAUGAAAUGCAGGGAGCAAAUGAAUACGUAAAAUGAAAAAUAUGAAAUAAUAACAAUUUAUAAGGAUUGCAGACAUUUAAUAAUCCGAACAACUAGCCAUGAUACCACAAAACUGUCAUUUAGAAUUGGCUGAAACGAUAUGUGACAAAUGCGGCAACAUCUUCUGUGAUAGACAAGUGUCGUGGACUAACAGAAAUGCAUUGAUAUCAUGGCAGUUGACAUCAACUUAA